GAUGAAGAACGCAGUGAAAUGCGAUAAGUAAUGCGAAUUGCAGAAUUCAGUGAGUCAUCGAAUCUUUGAACGCACAUUGCGCCCUGUGGUAUUCCGCAGGGCAUGCCUGUUCGAGCGUCAUUUCAACCCUCAAGCUCUGCUUGGUGUUGGGCCCUGCCCGCUGCGGCCGGCCCUAAAGACAGUGGCGGUGCCGCCUGGCCCUGAGCGUAGUACACCUCUCGCUCCAGUGCCCGGUGGUAGCCUGCCAGAACCCCAACUCUCGUGGUUGACCUCGGAUCAGGUAGGGAUACCCGCUGAACUUAAGCAUAUCAAUAAGCGGAGGA
rnacentral:misc_RNA from 1 species